rnacentral:tRNA from 1 species
CAUUAAGUGGCUGAAAGUAAGUAAUGGUCUCUUAAACCAAUUUAUAGUAUGUGACUAAUACUCUUAAUGA